rnacentral:rRNA from 1 species
CCAAUAGCGUAUAUUAAAGUUGUUGCAGUUAAAAAGCUCGUAGUUGAAUUUCGGGGUUAGUAGGUUGGUCAUGCCUCUGGUACGUACUGGUCUCACUGAUUCCUCCUUCCUGAUGAACCGUAAUGCCAUUAAUUUGGUGUUGCGGGGAAAUUGGACUGUUACUUUGAAAAAAUUAGAGUGUUUAAAGCAAGCUAACGCUUGAAUACAUUAGCAUGGAAUAAUGAAAUAGGACGUUCGAUCCUAUUUUGUUGGUUUCUAGGAUUGACGUAAUGAUUAAUAGGGAUAGUUGGGGGCAUUAGUAUUCAAUUGUCAGAGGUGAAAUUCUUGGAUUUAUUGAAGACUAACUACUGCGAAAGCAUUUGCCAAGGAUGUUUUCAUUAAUCAAGAACGAAAGUUAGGGGAUCGAAGACGAUCAGAUACCGUCGUAGUCUUAACCAUAAACUAUGCCGACUAGGGAUCGGAUGAUGUUAAUUUUUUAAUGACUCAUUCGGCGCCUUACG